rnacentral:rRNA from 1 species
AAACCAACAGGGAUUGCCUUAGUAACGGCGAGUGAAGCGGCAAAAGCUCAAAUUUGAAAUCUGGCGCCUUCGGUGUCCGAGUUGUAAUUUGAAGAAGGUAACUUUGGAGUUGGCUCUUGUCUAUGUUCCUUGGAACAGGACGUCACAGAGGGUGAGAAUCCCGUGCGAUGAGAUGCCCAAUUCUAUGUAAAGUGCUUUCGAAGAGUCGAGUUGUUUGGGAAUGCAGCUCUAAGUGGGUGGUAAAUUCCAUCUAAAGCUAAAUAUUGGCGAGAGACCGAUAGCGAACAAGUACAGUGAUGGAAAGAUGAAAAGAACUUUGAAAAGAGAGUGAAAAAGUACGUGAAAUUGUUGAAAGGGAAGGGCUUGAGAUCAGACUUGGUAUUUUGCGAUCCUUUCCUUCUUGGUUGGGUUCCUCGCAGCUUACUGGGCCAGCAUCGGUUUGGAUGGUAGGAUAAUGACUAAGGAAUGUGGCAUUGCUUCGGUGGUGUGUUAUAGCCUUGGUUGAUACUGCCUGUCUAGACCGAGGACUGCGUCUUUGACUAGGAUGUUGGCAUAAUGAUCUUAAGCCACCCG